UUUCAAAAUUCAAUUAUUUUAGACAACAGGCACAUAUGCAAUACUGACAUAAUCCCGAAUACCACACGUUUCCCUUUUAUGCAGAUAUGCAAUGGCAAGCCCUUCCAUGUGUUCCAAAAGUAAAAUUUAAGCUCUAAAUUAAAGAAGAUAUUUCUAGUCAGAAACAAGCAAAAAUGGUGACUGCAGAGUAUCAGAAGCCCAAGGUACAGAAAUUGUGAGAAGUGUCGAAUGAUUUCAAGGAAAGAGUCGUAUUUGAAAAUGCAAGACUCUUUAGUGGAGGUCAAGCAAGUCAAUAUAGGUAGAAUACUCUGCAAAAUUAUGCGAGUGAGGGGAUGUCAAACAGUGGGUCAGGAAAUGCAUUGUUUUUCUGCUAAACAAGAGCUGAUUGCCAUUACAUAAGUCACUUCAGCAUCAUGAUAAAUUCAGAAAUAAACCAAAAAACAAGACACGCAAAAAUAAAAAAAAAACAUUUAAUGAUGCUCUCUCCACACUGGGAUAAAUAAAAACAAACACAUCACAUCUAAUGUGGACAUAUCAGAUGCCUUGUGAAACACUAAAGGAACAAUUCAGUUUCGAGCUAUGGCACUUGCCACAUAGAUGUGGGGGGGCCUUGCACCAAUAGUGAUAGUUACCACUGCAUUUAGAAAUUGAAAGCAUUCGUGCAGACAAGGAUGAUUCUUUCUAUUCUUGGCUACCACUUCAAAUGCCUCCACCAAAUGUUACAAUGCUGCACGCAGCCAUACUAAGGAUCUCGCAGCAACACCUGCAGGUAAAAAGCAGAAGCAGUCAAAGUGCUGGUGUGUUCUGGACACUAUGUUUGAAAACAUUUAGGCAAGAAGAGUGCAAGAAGCAGACAUAACAACUGCAUUUAUUUCCAUAAUUCCCCAUUUAAAUGGCCUUUUCUUUUUGCUUAGACAAUGCCUACGCCUAGCCACAGCAGCUCCCUCAUACAGACUCCGCAAGCCAAGAGGCCGUGGAGCCAAAUGCAGGCAGCCAGCACACCUCGAACAGCCACCUUGACUGCGGGUGUGUCAGUAGAUUCCUGUUGUACAUAUGCUCAUAAUAAACUUCAGUAAACUUGAACUUCAUAAUAAACUUGAAGGCAAAUGGGA